ACGGAGGGUGCAAGCGUUAAUCGGAUUUAUUGGGCGUAAAGAGCGCGUAGGCGGAGUGGAAAGUUAGAUGUGAAAUCCCGGGGCUCAACUUCGGACCCGCAUCUAAAACUGUUAUUCUAGAGGGUAGACGGAGAAAAGGGAAUUCCACGUGUAGCGGUGAAAUGCGUAGAUAUGUGGAAGAACACCGGUGGCGAAGGCGCUUUUCUAGUUUAUUCCUGACGCUGAGGCGCGAAAGCAAGGGGAGCAAACAGGA
rnacentral:rRNA from 1 species